rnacentral:lncRNA from 1 species
GGCUGCUUCUGUUUCCUCACUACUGUGAAGCCAGCUGCAAUGAACAUGGGUAAGCAGGAUUUCCUCCAUUGGAUAGAGUCUUAUGGGAAGACGCCAAGGGGUUUGUCUAGCUGGGUCAGUUGGCAGCCCUCUAUCUUCUUGAACAUUCUCCCCACUGAUUUUGACUGUGGCUUCAAGAGUUUGCAGUGCAAGAGUUUGCAGUCCCCACCGGUAGUGGAUGAGAGUUCACAAGCAUUUGUUGCCAGUUCUUUUCUUGAUCUUUGCCAUUCUGGCUGGCAUACAAUAAAAUCUCAAAGCAGUUUUCAUUUACAUUUCCUUGAUUGCUAAAGACAGAAACCACUUAAAGAUAUUUCUUAGUUAUAGUUAUUUUUCUGUUGGGAACCAUAAAACUUUUAAAAAGUGGGUUAUUUGUCUUCCUGAUUUGUGUGUGUGUGUGUGUGUGUGUGUGUGUGUGUGUGUGUGUGCCUGUGUGUAUGUGUGUGUGUUUCCAAGCUGGCUGGGUGUCCUACAAACUUCAUACCCAUCGCCGGGAUUUCUGCUCCAUGCUCCUGUAGGUUUUCAGAGCAGAGUCUCCAAAGCAAGCACCCUUAACCAAGUUGGUCUCCCAGCUCAGGGAUACCCAGUCCACAUCACUCCAGGGCUCUGGCAAGCAGGCCACCUGUUUAAUUCAUUGCAACUGAUGUCUUCUACUGUAAUGUCUGUUUUGUGUUCCAGAGCCUUUUUCAAAUCUAGCAAUAAAUAGACCCAGAGCUACUUCUCAAGGACUGCAAUUAGCAUUGCAUUGAUGGCGGCAGCUUGGGAGGGAUAAGAGCUGGAGGAGGGACACCCGAUUUUCUCUUGGAAUGCUCUGGCCUGCUCAGACUGCUGAGUUGACAUUCUUCAAAUGCCCUGGCCUCUGCCUGGCUCAGUUUAGUAUGUUCUCUCAAGGGACCGUUCAUCUAUGAAAACCAAGCACAAGCUGACACAUUCACUCAGAUUUCUUUUAAAUAUCAGCCUGAUGAGUUCACCCUCAUUUGAGAAUUAAAUGGGAAUUAAAACUGUGAAGGAAACAGUUAAAAUUUCACUCAGGUGAGGGGUACAAUGGGCAAGCCCCGGCUAAACAUUUGAGGAGCAAACACAUAGAGGUGGGCAAAGGUCUUCAGGUUCAAAGGCUUGUUUGGAAAAAAAAUUCUGAAAACGUCCCUGUUUUUGCUGAAGUUCAUCUGUCCAUCCC